rnacentral:lncRNA from 1 species
UGCGCCCUCUGUCCUAUAAAAAGAGUCUAAACGUACCCCACAUCCUAUACCACAUUGCAUGCAUCCGACGUGUAUCAUGUUUUGGACGUAUUGCAAAUGCAUCCCCCUUAACCCCGGCGUCGUCGAGACAUUCUGACACAUUCGGAUAUUGUGUCCUCCAAAUGAAUCAGGGCGGCGUGUGGUGGCGUCACGUGGCGUGUUUGAAAAAACAACUGACCCCUAUGACCUAGAUACCCGUCCAAUCGUAAUAUCGGGUCCGUAUGGGUCCGGGAUGUUUACAUAUACCCCUGUUUUGCAGACAGGCAGUUGGCGUUGGGACGCCUUAUGGACCAUCUUCGCCAGUGUCUGUACCGUUAACCGUCUGUAACAUUAUUCCCGCGUCUCUAGUAUCCGUGUGUCACAUGAUGCUCCGUGCUUGACACAUAAUCUGCAUCCAGACUUCUGCCAUCAGCACAUCCGUUUCCGCGAGAGCAACGAUGAUAAUUAACGCAGACUUUUUCCAAGGAUAACGAUGCAGUACUUUGCACCUCAGCGUUACGUUUCCAAAACACUAAAAAUGUAGCUAAGUUGCCAGAUAUUUUGCUGGGGCAGACUGUCGCGAGAAGCGUACAGCUCGAGUGAGGAGUAGUGUCGAGGCUACCGCACCUCCCAACCCCGCCACCGUCGCUGCCGCUGCUGCGUUGCUAGGCCCCACCACCGCCGCGCCUGCAGUCGAGGCUACUGCACCUCACAGCCCCAUCACUGCCGCCGCUGCUGCUGUUGCGUUGCUAGGCCCAGCCGCCACACCUGUCGUCGAGGCUACUCCCAGCAACAUCACCGCUGCCGCUGCACCCGGCCCUCUCACCGGCGCUGUUAUCUGCUGCUGAUACUUGCACAACACUGCGUCUCCGUAGAGGUCCAGGGUGCUGAUGGUCCCACCGAUAACGCUGCAGCGCCAACAUACCGGCCAGUUAUGUCCCGUUGCGUAGAUAAACGAACUUGCUGCCGUGGGCUGGAGCUGAAGCCCAGACACUUGCCAGCGGUGUUGAUGUUGAUAUUAAACAGGAACUUGUUGGCCUUUAUCAUCGGCGAGAUAAGAGGAACUGGCGCAGCGGGUCCGUGUGGGCGGGCGGCCGCGGGAACGCCGGGGUAUCCAGAUGUGGCGGAGGGGAUUCUAGAGCGGGCCCUGCGGGGUGCAAUCGACAAGAACGCCACGCGCUAUUGACUUGUUUCCGACCGCGCACAUGAGCGUCGAGACAUACCUGUGGUUCGCCACGUUGCGCCGCCGCCUGUGCGCCGGUGCCCAUCGCCGCAACCAGUCCCUGCUACCCCAGCGCCGCUGACAGCUGUCUCGCCAUCAGAUAAACUGUCAGCGUCGCUCUGAGUGUCACUGUUGCUAUCAGUUGUCGGAAUGUCGUCGCGAACGAUUUCGCAAAGCCAUGAGUCGUUACGUCUAUCGAGCUAUGUGAUUCAUUAUCGUCUUCAGGCAAAUUUACAUUUAGCAGAUAUGUGGAGACGCACUAAGGCUCUUAUGCGCGUAACUUUUGGGUGGCAUCGCUUUGGGUGGAAUGGCUUCAAGUUGGCCAUCGUUUAUCGGACUAUGGACUUAUAUGUGUAAAGCUUUGUGGCUUACCUAUCCUUUGUGCUUCAUCUGUGGCAAUUGCAUUAGCUUUCCGCCGGCAGCUGCGGUCGCGUCCUUGCGCCUUUGACUGAGCUAUCAGCAACGUUACCUUAGGACAAUCUAACUCCAAGAAAGCAGCUAGUUUACGCAAGCACAUUGCCGGCAUCCCUCCAGGGCGGCCUCACCUUUAGGGGGUCCCCCGAGAUGUCGAACGUUCUGGCUAUACAAGCUUUACGGACUUGGCCAAGUAGGUAUUAAUGCAUUGUAACUAUUUUAAGCGGAUGUGCAUCGUUACGUCAACGUCAUCGUUGACUC